rnacentral:rRNA from 1 species
GACGAACGCUGGCGGCGUGCCUAAUACAUGCAAGUAGGACGCAGUUGCGAACGGGUGAGUAACGCGUAGGUAACUGCCUAUUAGAGGGGGAUAACUAUUGGAAACGAUAGCUAAUACCGCAUACUAGUAGAUGGACCUGCGUUGUAUUAGCUAGUAGGUAGGGGAAUGGGCUACCUAGGCAACGAUACAUAGCCGACCUGGUGGGGUGAACGGGCAAACUGGGACUGAGAAACGGCCCAGAAUCCUAAGGGAAGCCGCAGGAGGGAAACUUUGGCAAUGGGGGGAAACCUGACCGAGCAACGCCGCGGUAGUGAAGAAGGUUUUCGGGUCGGAAAACUCUGUUGUUAAGGGAGCGGUACUUAACCAGAAAGGGACGGCUAACUACGUGCCAGCAGCCGCGGUAAUUC